ensembl:misc_RNA Metazoa_SRP Metazoan signal recognition particle RNA
GCUGGGUGUGGUGGCGUGCGCCUGUAAUCCCUGCCACUCAGGAGGCUGAGGCAGGAGACUUGCUUGAACCCAGGAGGUGGAGGUUGCAGUGAGACGAAAUCGUGCCACUGCACUCCAGCCUGGGAGACAGAGUGAGACUCUGUCUCAA